rnacentral:rRNA from 1 species
AUGAAAAGGAAGAUAGUUGUUGUGAGGGACAAGCUAGAAGAUCUCAUACGAAAAUCCAAAUGCUCCAUGGAAGGAAUUGAAUUCCUGCACAAUAGUUUGUGUGGCAUUGAGUUGGGUUUAGCCCAACUAGUUUCGACCGUACCAUGCAAUACACAAGAAAAUGAGGAGUCAUGUAUUGGGAGUGUCAUUCCAAAGGAUGUUACCAUCCUCACACCUAAGGAUAUCAAUGCAAGGGGCACAUGCUCUAGAAUAAAAGGCCAUAGGGAUGGUGCGAGGAGUGGAUCCGGUGAGAAGAGAAGGCCUGGAAUUCAUCAAAAAGUCGCGCGCAAAUGCAGCAUUUGUAAGGAAAUGGCGUUGCAUGAUGCAAGAACAUGUUCUAAGAAACAAAAAACAAAACAGUAA